AGAAUCAACGCUGGCGGCGUGCCUAACACAUGCAAGUCGAACGAGAAAGUGGAGCAAUCCAUUAGUAAAGUGGCGCACGGGUGAGUAACACGUGACUAACCUACCCUUGAGUGGGGGAUAACCUAGAGAAAUCUGGGCUAAUACCGCAUAAUACCUUCGGGUCAAAGGAGCAAUUCGCUUAAGGAGGGGGUCGCGGCCGAUUAGUUAGUUGGCGGGGGUAAUGGCCCACCAAGACUAUGAUCGGUAUCCGGCCUGAGAGGGCGCACGGACACACUGGAACUGAAACACGGUCCAGACUCCUACGGGAGGCAGCAGUGGGGAAUUUGCGCAAUGGGGGAAACCCUGACGCAGCAACGCCGCGUGGAGGAUGAAGCCCCUUGGGGCGUAAACUCCUUUCGAUCGGGACGAUAAUGACGGUACCGAGAGAAGAGCCCCGGCUAACUUCGCGCCAGCAGCCGC
rnacentral:rRNA from 1 species